rnacentral:rRNA from 1 species
AAACGACUGCUAAGACUGGAUAGGAGAUAAGAAGGCAUCUUCUUAUUUUUAAAAGACCUAGCAAUAGGUAUGCUUAAGGAGGGGCUUGCGUCACAUUAGUUAGUUGGUAGGGUAAAAGCCUACCAAGACGAUGAUGUGUAGCCGGGCUGAGAGGCUGAACGGCCACAUUGGAACUGAGACACGGUCCAAACUCCUACGGGAGGCAGCAGUAGGGAAUUUUCGGCAAUGGAGGAAACUCUGACCGAGCAACGCCGCGUGAACGAUGAAGUAUUUCGAUACGUAAAGUUCUUUUAUUAGGGAAGAAAAGAUGGUGGAAAAACCAUUAUGACGGUACUUAAUGAAUAAGCCCCGGCUAACUAUGUGCCAGCAGCCGCGGUAAUACAUAGGGGGCGAGCGUUAUCCGGAAUUAUUGGGCGUAAAGGGUGCGUAGGCGGUUUAAUAAGUUUAUGGUCUAAGUGCAAUGCUUAACAUUGUGAUGCUAUAAAAACUGUUUGACUAGAGUUGGAUAGAGGCAAGUGGAAUUCCAUGUGUAGCGGUAAAAUGCGUAAAUAUAUGGAGGAACACCAUGAGCGAAGGCGGCUUGCUGGGUCUUAACUGACGCUGAGGCACGAAAGCGUGGGGAGCAAACAGGAUUAGAUACCCUGGUAGUCCACGCCGUAAACGAUGAGUACUAGACGUUGGGUUAAACCAGUGUCGAAGUUAACACAUUAAGUACUCCGCCUGAGUAGUACGUACGCAAGUAUGAAACUUAAAGGAAUUGACGGGACUCCGCACAAGCGGUGGAUCAUGUUGUUUAAUUCGAAGGUACCCGAAAAACCUCACCAGGUCUUGACAUGCUUCUGCAAAGCUGUAGAAAUACAGUGGAGGUCAUCAGUUGCACAGGUGGUGCAUGGUUGUCGUCAGCUCGUGUCGUGAGAUGUUGGGUUAAGUCCCGCAACGAGCGCAACCCUUGUUGUUAAUUGCCAUCAUUAAGUUGGGGACUUUAGCAAGACUGCCAGUGAUAAAUUGGAGGAAGGUGGGGACGACGUCAAAUCAUCAUGCCCCUUAUGACCUGGGCUACAAACGUGAUACAAUGGCUGUUACAAAGGGUAGCUAAAGCGCAAGCUUUUGGCAAAUCUCAAAAAAACAGUCUCAGUUCGGAUUGAAGUCUGCAACUCGACUUCAUGAAGUUGGAAUCGCUAGUAAUCGCGAAUCAGCAUGUCGCGGUGAAUACGUUCUCGGGGUUUGUACACACCGCCCGUCAAA